rnacentral:tRNA from 1 species
GCCUGGGUGGCUCAGUGGGUUAAGCAUCUGACUUCGGCUCAGGUCAUGAUCUCACGGUAUGUGGGUUCGAGCCCCACUCUGGGCU